UAAUUUUAAGAGAACUCAUAAAUGUGGUUUAAUAAGUGAAAGUGACGUUUAUCAGACCGUCCAUCUUUGCGGUUGGGUUGAUGCUUUUCGUAACUUUGGGCAUCUAAAAUUUAUAUGGCUGCGAGAUUCUUCGGGCGUAACUCAAGUAAUUACCAGGGCUGAUACUAGUUAUAAUUCGAUAACGGAGAGCUUGACUUUAGAAAGUGUUCUUUAUGUAUCAGGUAAAGUGCAAAGGAGACCAGGAAGUAAUGAAAAUAUGAAUUUGGCUACCGGCAAGUAUGAAGUUUCUGCUAGUACAAUAGUAUUGCUUAACAAAGCAAAUCUUCCUGUUAUUGUUAAUGAUCACUCAAUAUUGCCUAAAGAAGAAACACGGCUUCAACAUCGUCAUCUCGACUUGAGGAGAAAAUACUUACACAACAAUUUAGUAACACGCGCAAAAAUUGCUA